rnacentral:rRNA from 1 species
AUUGAACGCUGGCGGAAUGCUUUACACAUGCAAGUCGAACGGCAGCAUAGGUGCUUGCACCUGAUGGCGAGUGGCGAACGGGUGAGUAAUACAUCGGAACGUGCCCAGUCGUGGGGGAUAACGUAGCGAAAGUUACGCUAAUACCGCAUACGAUCUAAGGAUGAACGCGGGGGACCGAAAGGCCUCGCGCGAUUGGAGCGGCCGAUGUCAGAUUAGGUAGUUGGUGAGGUAAAGGCUCACCAAGCCGACGAUCUGUAGCUGGUCUGAGAGGACGACCAGCCACACUGGGACUGAGACACGGCCCAGACUCCUACGGGAGGCGGCAGUGGGGAAUUUUGGACAAUGGACGCAAGUCUGAUCCAGCCAUUCCGCGUGCAGGACGAAGGCCUUCGGGUUGUAAACUGCUUUUGUACGGAACGAAAAAGCUCUUACUAAUACUAGGAGUCCAUGACGGUACCGUAAGAAUAAGCACCGGCUAACUACGUGCCAGCAGCCGCCGCCG